GUGUGUGUGUGUGUUUAUGGCUGCAGAAAAGUGUGUGUGUGUGCUUGGGCUUCAAUCAGCUGAGAAAGGCUGGAAUUUCCUGUGGGGGAUGAGACUCAAGAUUGGCAACGCUAAAAAUUCCCCAUCCGAGUCAUCCGGCUGCUGAAAAAUUCCAGAUAUGAGACACUUCGUGGAAAACAAACACUCGGCUCUGUUCUGCAAACUCGAACGUGACGAGUGAUGCACUGAUGCCUUUAAAAAGAGUUUUUAACCUGUGUGUGGAAGCCAGGUAUUAAAAGCGAAGAGACAUGACCUAGCAUGAUUUACAGAUUUACUGCUGCGUGCUAAACUGGAGGCUAGAAACAUCCAUCACUGUUAGCUAUAUUAGCUUCACAGUGGAAAAGUACAGAGCAAAACAACAACAGAAGCUAGAAUGUCGACGUCAGUGAUGUCUCCUCAAAUAUCUUACCUGAUUAAAAGAAGCAAAAAGUUUGCAGUAACAGGAAGUCAGAGGGAGGCCGUGCUGAUCACUGCUCUCGUCUCGUCUCGUCUCAGAGAGACUGCAGUAAACAUGUAAACGCAGACGGAAAGGUGACGUGUGCGGUUUCAGUGAUUUAAAUACAAACCUGAGAGACCGACAUGGGGCUGUACCUGCGCCUCAGACUCCAGCGUCACUCUCCUGAGCAGACGCACACACACAUGCAAAUCAGAGUCAGAACUCUCCCUCUGGAGUACACACACACACACACACACACAAAGUGCAAGAAUCUCAGAUGAUUCAGCUUGAUCUGAGAAGCGUCAGCUGGAAAACCCGUCUCUCUCUCUCGGUUUGAUUUUUUUCUUCGGGGAUUUAUCACAUUUCAUUUAUUAUCCCCAAGGCCGGAACGUCAUCUCUAUGCAAAUACGGGGGAAAAAAAUCAGAGAGGACACAUGGGACAAAUUUCACUUAAAUCUCAAGAGAAGUGAGUGUGAGAACACUCAAAAAUUCUUUAGACAGAAACACAGACAGACACAAAGGUCCAGAGACAGAAGGACAGUCUAUGGUGAUAUGAUUAUUUUAUCAGUGAUUCUUUAAUGCUGCUACACACAUUUCUGACAAAUACACUCUUAUGUCUUAAGUCUUAUUUCUAAUUAGAAGCUGAAUAGAAACAGCAUUUUAACUGAUACCUAAAUAUCACAAUACAUAUUGUACAGGGGUAUUGUGAUAUUUUUAUCAAAUCACCUGGUCUUAUAGCAGAGCAGCAGAGAGAGAGAGAGACACACACACACACACACACACAGAGGCAGAGCAAGUGAGACAGAGAGAGAGAGAGACAGUCAGAGAGAAACAGAGCGAGUGAGACAGACAGAGUGCUUGUCUGUUGCUGUUAUAGGGGAAACUGCAGUGUUCCUCACAGGACAGGAGGAAAUGAAUUGCAGAUAAACAGUCAGUGAUGGACGAUAAUCUCAACACUCUCCUGAUUCUGAUAAACCCCGACACUCGGGUGUGAACCAGAGCACUGGCGUUAAACUCGGCAGCCUCGUCUCAAAACGCAGCGGAAAGUGAGAAGAAUCCACUCUGUAUAGAGUUUAAUGUACAGCGUGAGGAAACUCACACAGGAAGCAGCAUGUUGCUGCAAUAACCUACUCCUCACUAUACCACGAGGGCGCC